GCCGGGUGCGGUGGCGCAUGCCUGUAGUCCCAGCUACUCGGGAGGCUGAGGUGGGAGGAUCGCUUGAGUCCAGGAGUUCUGGGCUGUAAUGCACUAUGCCGAUCAAGUGUCUGCACUAAGUUCAGCAUCAAUAUGGUGAUCUCCUAGGAGCGGGGGACCACCAGGUUGCCUAAGGAGGGGUGAACCGGGCCAGGUCAGAAAUGGAGCAGGUCAAAACUCCCGUGCUGAUCAGUAGUGGGAUCGCGCCUGUGAAUUGCCACUGCACUCCAGCCUGGGCAAUACAGCAAGAUCCCGUCUCU
rnacentral:SRP_RNA from 1 species